UCACUAUAAUGGCAGCACAUAUACGAAAGUUGGAGUGGAAUGGAAAGAUAGCAUGGCCCUUCUGGAAGUAUGACACACAAAUUCAUGAAUCAGUCCAUAUUUAA
ensembl:snRNA predicted gene, 23761